GCCCCGAGAAGCUAAUCUAGCAGUGGUCUUGUAAACCUCAGAAGGCCUACAUCCCCGAGGCU
rnacentral:tRNA from 1 species